GAAGCUAACCUUUGAAUCUUCGGAUGAUUAAGUUAGUGGAAAGUGGCGAACGGGUGAGUAACGCGUGAGAAUCUACCUGAUAGUGGGGGAUAACAACCGGAAACGGUUGCUAAUACCGCAUGUGCUCUACGGAGUAAAGAUGGCCUCUAUUUAUAAGCUAUUGCUAACAGAUGAGCUCGCGUCCCAUUAGCUAGUUGGUGGGGUAAAGGCCUACCAAGGCAACGAUGGGUAGCCGGCCUGAGAGGGUGACC
rnacentral:rRNA from 1 species